GGUGCAAACACACAGGACUCAACCCAGCUGCCUUAAAACAAGUCACAGAACCAUGGAAUUAUGGAAUGUCCCGCAGUGGAAGGGGCCCACAAGCUCCUGGCCCUGCACAGAACAUCCCCAUGAAUCACACCAUGAAAUCCAGCCAUGUCUCAGGGGACCCUGGCAUCUCAGCUCCUGCCCCAGAAGGAUCCUGUCCCCUCACAGUCCUCUGGACUUCCCAGACACCCCAGGACAGGAGAAGCAUCCCUGUGGGAUCAACAAUCUGGCAUGGGUCAACAAGACAAUCCGAUUUUGCAAGCCUGGAGCCAAAUGAAAAUCAGGACUAUGGCAGAGAGGGCCCGCGAUGUGAAAAAGGAAAAACUGCUUUAAAGAGAUAACUGCUCCCAAUCUACUCCCCAAAGGAGACGACUCUUAUUAAGGGUUUCUUCUUGAGAUGUCUGCCUAAAGGCUUCUUCAGAAGGGAUUUAGUCGUUUACAACUCAGAUCUGGAGUUUGAAGCCCCCCUUUUACAGCUUGGCAGCUCCGAGGUCCUGAACCUGCUUCCUUCUGCUGGGCUGGGGCUGAGCUUGGGCAGGGGGGACAGCAGAGGUGACAAGUGCCCGUGCGAGGCUGGGGACACUGCAAGGAGCCAAGGAGAGAGGCAAGAAAAAAAUAAAGACUUCCGAAUCUGUCUGGGAUCCGAUAAAUAUCUGUGGUCAAGCAAACAAAUAAGGAAAUGAAUCCCCAAACAAUAAACAACCCACCCAAACUUACUUCUGAAAGAUUUUUUUGUAGUCUUGUGUUUCCCUGAAGUACCUGGCAGUAUGAAGGGGGAUGAAACCAAACCUCCUCCUGUCUGCUAAAUACUUUUGCAUAUUCAGAUUUCAAAUGCCAAAGAUAGCUAAAAAUAAAGGAAGAAUGAAAAAUAAACUUUCAGCAGAUCUAGAAAAAAAUAACUGCAACCUCCAGCCGGUUGGAGCUGUGCUAAAAUGGUAACUAUGCUCGUCAUGCAAACACUUCAAGAGCAGCGAUUCUAGCGGGAUGGAAUUUGGGGAAGG